ACGGGGUGCAGCAGGCGCGAAAACUUUACAAUGCGAGCAAUCGUGAUAAGGGAACCCCGAGUGCCUGUAUACGCAGGCUGUUCAGAUGUCUAAACAACAUCUGGAGAAAGGGCCGGGCAAGACCGGUGCCAGCCGCCGCGGUAAUACCGGCGGCUCGAGUGGUGGCCACUAUUACUGGGCUUAAAGCGUCCGUAGCUGGGUUGUUAAGUCUCCUGGGAAAUCUGCCGGCUUAACCGUCAGGCGUUCAGGAGAUACUGGCAAUCUCGGGACCGGGGGAGGUGAGAGGCACUCCGGGGGUAGGAGUGAAAUCCUGUAAUCCUCGGGGGACCACCUGUGGCGAAGGCGUCUCACCAGAACGGCUCCGACAGUGAGGGACGAAAGCUGGGGGAGCAAACCGGAUUAGAUACCCGGGUAGUCCCAGCUGUAAACGAUGCGCGUUAGGUGUGUCGAUAACCACGAGUUAUCGAGGUGCCGAAGGGAAACUGUUAAACGCGCCGCCUGGGAAGUACGGUCGCAAGGCUGAAACUUAAAGGAAUUGGCGGGGGAGCAC
rnacentral:rRNA from 1 species